rnacentral:rRNA from 1 species
GACGAACGCUGGCGGCGUGCUUAACACAUGCAAGUCGAACGGUAAGGCCCUUCGGGGUACACGAGUGGCGAACGGGUGAGUAACACGUGGGUGAUCUGCCCUGCACUUCGGGAUAAGCCUGGGAAACUGGGUCUAAUACCGGAUCGGACCCCUGCCUGCAUGGGUGGUGGUGGAAAGCUUUUGUGGUGUGGGAUGGGCGCGCGGCCUAUCAGCUUGUUGGUGGGGUGAUGGCCUACCAAGGCGACGACGGGUAGCCGGCCUGAGAGGGUGACCGGCCACACUGGGACUGAGAUACGGCCCAGACUCCUACGGGAGGCAGCAGUGGGGAAUAUUGCACAAUGGGCGCAAGCCUGAUGCAGCGACGCCGCGUGAGGGAUGACGGCCUUCGGGUUGUAAACCUCUUUCAGCACCGACGAAGCGCAAGUGACGGUAGGUGCAGAAGAAGGACCGGCCAACUACGUGCCAGCCGCCGCGGUAA